AGCUUUGCGCAGUGGCAGUAUCGUAGCCAAUGAGGUUUAUCCGAGGCGCGAUUAUUGCUAAAAAAGAAAAAAAAAAAAAUUAAACAUACACCUGCCAUAUGAUCAUUCAUUCCACUCCUAGGUAUUAGCAAAGAGAAAGUAUAUAUUCAUAUGAAUGCAUGUAAAAAUGUUCGCUGCUGUUUAAUUUGUAAUAAUCCAAAACUGGA
ensembl:snRNA U4 U4 spliceosomal RNA